UGGAAGUAAAAAGUCGUAACAAGGUUUCCGUAGGUGAACCUGCGGAAGGAUCAUUGUCGAAACCUGCAAGGCAGAACGACCCGCGAACACGUACCGACGAUCGGACGUCGGGGGGAUCGGGCCUUGGCCUGGGACCCUCGGUGCCCUGUGGGCGGGUCGCAUGUCGGUGCCUUUACGGGUGCCGUGUGUGUUCCGUCUGCGCCAUAACAAAACCCCGGCACGGCACGUGCCAAGGAAGCCUCAAAUCUUAAGACGGUUGCGUCUCGUGUCGCCCCGUUCGCGGUGUGCGCCUGGGAUUGCCGCCUCUUGUAUAACACAAACGACUCUCGGCAACGGAUAUCUCGGCUCACGCAUCGAUGAAGAACGUAGCAAAAUGCGAUACUUGGUGUGAAUUGCAGAAUCCCGUGAACCAUCGAGUUUUUGAACGCAAGUUGCGCCCAAGGCCAUCCGGCCGAGGGCACGCCUGCCUGGGCGUCACGCAUCGCGUCGCCCCCUACCACGCGCCUGCGUGGCUCUGGGGGCGGAGAUUGGCCUCCCGUACCCCCGGGUGCGGAUGGCCCAAAAAGGAGUCCCCUUCGACGGACGCACGAGUAGUGGUGGUUGUCAAGGCCCUCGUUUCUCGUCGUGCGUUUCGUGUUGCAAAGGGUGCCUCUCGUAGAUCCCGAUGUGUUGUCUUGCGACGAUGCUUCGACCGCGACCCCAGGUCAGGCGGGACCACCCGCUGAGUUUAAGCAUAUCAAUAAGCGGAGGAA
rnacentral:rRNA from 1 species